rnacentral:rRNA from 1 species
GCUGCGGGAUGCCUUCACAUGCAAGUCGAACGGCAGCACGGACUUCGGUCUGGUGGCGAGUGGCGAACGGGUGAGUAAUGUAUCGGAACGUGCCUAGUAGCGGGGGAUAACUACGCGAAAGCGUAGCUAAUACCGCAUACGCCCUACGGGGGAAAGCAGGGGAUCGCAAGACCUUGCACUAUUAGAGCGGCCGAUAUCGGAUUAGCUAGUUGGUGGGGUAAUGGCUCACCAAGGCGACGAUCCGUAGCUGGUUUGAGAGGACGACCAGCCACACUGGGACUGAGACACGGCCCAGACUCCUACGGGAGGCAGCAGUGGGGAAUUUUGGACAAUGGGGGAAACCCUGAUCCAGCCAUCCCGCGUGUGCGAUGAAGGCCUUCGGGUUGUAAAGCACUUUUGGCAGGAAAGAAACGUCAUGGGCUAAUACCCCGUGAAACUGACGGUACCUGCAGAAUAAGCACCGGCUAACUACGUGCCAGCAGCCGCGGUAAUACGUAGGGUGCAAGCGUUAAUCGGAAUUACUGGGCGUAAAGCGUGCGCAGGCGGUUCGGAAAGAAAGAUGUGAA